rnacentral:tRNA from 10 species
CUGUGGAAGAGCUGAAGUACUAGUCAGUUGUCCCAUACCGGAUGUUGAAGCACAGGGCUCCAUGCUGGAGCUGAAUAUCUGCAAACCGUCUAGUCCUCCCAUUCAACACAGAAGUCAUCUGGGACACAGUGACAUUGACACCAUUCUCCAGAAUCCGCCUCCCCCCAGUGUUACCGAUGAGCACCAGGUCUUCCUCCAGAGACCCAAGCUUAAUGAAGUAAGCCAGAGGUGAGUGCAGAAAUCCUGUCAAUUCGUCACUUGUGGACAACCUGCAGCUUGCCACAGCCUACAGUUCCACCACUGUGACCUCUGAAAACCUCCUGAACAAAAGGAAGGAGACUUGGAAAUCCUGAAUGGGCUUGGAGACAUUAAGGGAGAACUGCCUCCCUGGACCAAGGCAGAAUUCAAUAGAACCAGCAAGAAAUUUUCCUAUGAAUGGGAAAGCAGGUGGCAGGGGGCAGGGGUGGAAAAGCUUUGUACAGGAAUUGUGGAAAAGCUUUUGCAUUAUCUCUAGUCUGAAAGUCACAUUUCUCAGUUCCUUUCCACUCUCUUCUGUCAACUUGCUGUGAGUAAAUGACAUCUGUCACCUGUGACACGGGCCAGGGACUAUCACCAUAUGGCCCCCACACAUUAUCUAGUACCAGCCUGCCUGGGCCAUGCCUUUUCCAGUCACUGUACCAGCCUUUCCAAGUAUUUAUGGCACGUCGUUGUUAUUCUCUCCUCUGUUCCCAUCCUCCUGCCUGCAGUAAACCACUGCCUGAACCGUGUUCCUAGGUGGUGCUGAUGCUGGGCUGUCUCAAAAGCCCUUAGUCUGUUUCAAAGCUUCCUGCCAAUGGCAAGAAUGUGGAUGAUGUGAUUAGAAAUCAAAUGAAUGUAACUGUUACAUUGCCAAAAUACCAUUUAGCUCUCAUUUGGCUGCUUUUUCACUUUGGGUGGGCAUUAUUAUCAGUUUGCUCAAAAACAGUGCUUAUGAAUCUAUCCAAUGUCCACAAUGCUGUUAUAGGAUAAAAGGCCAUUUCUUAUUAGUCCAAAUAACAGAGUGGGAGACUUUUAUUCUUUUAAUUGAUUGUGAGGUUCUAAAAGAGAUAAUUGUAAAAGCAACAACAACAGCAACAGCAAUCAUGGCUGUAUGCUUAUUUGAACAAGACUAGAAAUGAGAGCAGAAAUUUGAAAAGUUAAAGCAUUUGAAUGACCACCAGAUGGCAGUGUGGGGCCACCUGGAAGCUGAAGCCAAAGUCGUCGUUCUGUCUCUCUAGGCAGCCUCUGAAAGUGUCAGCCCCAAAGAGGCAAUUGCUGUAAAUGUAUAAGGCUAAAGUAUCUUAUUAAAUGAUUAUAAAAUAUAUUUAAAUGCAUUUUAAAAAUGAAGUUCAUAAGAAUUAUUUUAGGAAACUGAAAGGUUUACAUUUACUCUAAUACAAAAUUUUAGCCCACAAGUCUUCAAAAUAUAAUUAACUCAGAGAAGUCUCAUAAAUCAAGACAGAGAAUUAAUGACCACAUAGAGAAAAUUUAAGAAACAAUAAUUGAUUUUUUUAAUAGGGAAGAGAUCAUUAAGCAACCACAGCCAUUACCCAAAUAAUUAUUUUUCUCCUAAUGGCUACAACCAUUGUGCAUGAAAAUGAUAUGCAUAAGUUUCACUUACUCUAGAAGAAGUCAAACUAUUUUCACAAAAUUUCUGCGUGUUAAGGUGAAAAAUCUGCUGCUGCUUUUUAAUACAUCGUGACACAGGUAUGGCAAGCGAAUUCACAAGGUAAUACCAGAGUAUUUUGGGGUGUAAAAAGAGAAAUCCAUUUUAAAGUUUGAGAAUUCUUAGUUUAAAAUAUACUACAAGAACGAGCCUCUUUAUCCCUGCUCUGCCCCUGUCAUAGUGGGAGAAUGUGCCACAAAGGCCAUAUUAAUGAGAGGACUGGAAAGAACACAAGGAGAUACAAAACCUCAAGUCAGUGAAAAAGUUACAUGUUACAUGGGAUUUUGGUAAAUUCAAUGUUCUUUCCCUUUUUCCCUCUAGAAUCACAAUUUCAAAGAUGCUUUAAUUUCCUCCCUCCCUCCCUGCCUCCCUCCCUUCCUUCCUUCUUCCCUCCCUUACUUUCUUCUGCUCUUUCUUGUUUUGAUUUACCUCCAAGUGGCAGUAAGUGCUAGCUAGCAUUUAAAUUCUCUACUUGGGUGUUUUAUAUUAAGUUAUUUCAUUUAAUUAUAUCUAUUCAGUGAAUUAGUUAUGAUUACUGGUAAUAAUAAUGUUAAUAAAAUCAAUUUUAUGACAAA